rnacentral:rRNA from 1 species
CAGCCGCCGCGGGAAUACGAAGGGUGCAAGCGUUAAUCGGAAUUACUGGGCGUAAAGCGUGCGUAGGCGGUUUGUUAAGUCUGUUGUGAAAUCCCCGGGCUCAACCUGGGAAUGGCAAUGGAUACUGGCAAGCUAGAGUGUGUCAGAGGAUGGUGGAAUUCCCGGUGUAGCGGUGAAAUGCGUAGAGAUCGGGAGGAACAUCAGUGGCGAAGGCGGCCAUCUGGGACAACACUGACGCUGAGGCACGAAAGCGUGGGGAGCAAACAGGAUUAGAUACCCGUGUAGUCCCUGUCUCUUAUAC